rnacentral:lncRNA from 1 species
ACGAGUCUAGAAGCGAUUCGGUCCCGCCGGGACAUGGCACCAUCCCCGGUGGAGGUGUUUGAACUUCCGGAGGAUGAGGAAAGAUUGAAGGAAAAAGGAGAAGGACACAACAGGAUAAGAGAUGGGAAAAUUCAUGGAUUGUGCGAGUGAAAGUUGUAGCUGGAAUAUCCCCGGCAAAGAAGGAUCUCUUAGGAGCUAGAUUCAUCCUCAACAGCAUUGGCUUCUUUUUGAAGUGUUUGAUGAAAAUCAUUUGGUAAGUU